CCCUAGUUGAUUGUGAUUGGUUGUCCUUAGGUUUUGAUUUCGUAAGCUGUGAGGCAUUUACAGGCUUAGAUCUUGGUUUGCUUCCGGAAGUGGGAGCUUGCUCUAUACAAUGGGUCUGAAGCCUAAAAAAGUAGGGAGAUACCUCAGGGUUCUCUCCUGUCCUGGGCUACAAAACAUUCACCUUAACAGACCGAGCUGUUUAAGCCUGCGCUGUGAAAACAUGACUUUCUCAAAUCCCAAACGCAAGCACUCGGCGGCAGGUGUGCCAUCAACACAAGCCCUGAGGGAAGGACAAAACCCUGGGGCGGUCACAGAAAGUACCAGCAAAAACAGCUGCUGUAUCAUCAGUCCUGCGUCAGUCAAUUGAAGGGCUGUUGGUGGACAGUGGGGAUAAAGAGGAUCUGUAAAAAUUACCUGAAAAAGAUUGGAAAUGAAGAGUACUUCUAAGCAGAUCGGACACAACUGAGUGAUUCUCAAAACAGGUACCUGGAAUGGACAAGAACUCAACAAUUUUUUGAGCAAAUUAUACUACCAAGGAACUUGCAAGUCUAGUGUGUAAAAGUUUGAUAAGAAACCAUCUCCUGAGAUUCUAACCCUGUAUCUGCAGAGAACUGAGAAACUUGGGCUGCAUUCAAUUUCAACCCUGAAACUCCUUGUCUAUCAUUACAUCUAAAGUGAAAAGAGAAUAUGCUUUCCAGUGUGCACUGUAGAAGUGUCCCAGGGAUGAUGGAUAAAGAAGAAUUUCCUAAAGGACAAAGCCAGUGGACCACAAGGACAGUGGAUUGGGGGUUUCCAAGAGGGCUGAGCCGGGAAUUCAUCAAGGAGCCCACUCCAGUGCCAGCGAGGGGAGUCUGCAAUUGCUGCCCAGCAAGAUUUCCACAUUGCUAGAGACCAGCUUCUCUGUGUCAUUUAUAUCCUUCUCUUUUCCAAGUAGGAAUUUUAUUACACUUGUCCUGGUUCUGUUGCACUACUGUAUCUUGUGUUUUCGUGGGAACGUGGGGGCUGUGGGAAGUGGCAGGGAAAUUAUCUAUAGUUAGUCCAUCAUAGAACCAGAUGACGCUUCCUCAGGACUCAUGGAAAGAAUUUCACAUCACGUAGGAAUUCUAGGUUUUGAGCUGAACUGGGUUGGACUCUACAUUGUUCACCUUUGGAAAAGAGGUGUGUCAACAUGGGGUAAAAGAAGCAAAAAAAAAGUUGAGUUACACCCAAAUGGGUUAUGGCAAAAGCUGCCAAGUGUCCCUAGUAUCACUACCUCUUAAUUCCUUCUAAUCCUAGAAGCCACCAGAAUUUUAGCAAAUAUAUACAUGGUCCAAGUAGAAAUGAAAUUUCUAAAAAAAAAAAAAGAAAUUUCUCAGCCUCACUUGGAGUUGACUGUGGCCAUGUGACUCAAUGCUGACAUUUACCUAAUAAGACGUUUGCCUAAGAAGUCAUCUUAUGGGCUUCCCUGUGGUGUAGUGGUUAAGAAUCUGCCUGCCAAUGCAGGGGACACAGUUUGGAUCCCUGGUCUGGGAGGAGCCACAUGCUACAGAGCAGCUAAACCCACGCACCACAACUACUGAGCCUGUGCUCUGGAGCCCAAGUGCCUAGAGCCUGUGCUCCACGACAAGAGAAGCCACCGCAUUUGCAACAAAGUGUAGCCCCCACUCACUGCAACUAGAGAAAACCUUCACAAAGCUACAAAGAUCCAGUGUAGCCAAAAAGAAAUUAAAAAAAUUUUUUUUUCUUUCUAAAUUAGUCUUGCUACAGCAGCUUGACCCGAACAUUAAUAAUGAUAGCACUUCCCCUGCACUCAACAAGAAUGCUAUAAGAAGCCAUCUAGCUACUUCUAGGAAUAAUAAUGGAAUACAAAAUAAAACCAUAUAUAUUUAUAAGUAUUAAUAUCUUAUGUUGUUCAGUUGCUCAGUCGUGUCCUACUCUUCGUGACCCCAUGGACUGCAGCACGCCAGGCUUCCCUGUCCUUCACCAUCUCCCAGAGCUUGCUCAAACUCAUGUCCAUUGAGUCGGUGAUGCCAUCCAACCAUCUCAUCCUCUAUUGCCCCCUUCUCCUCCUGCAAGCUUAAUUGUAUAUUUCAAGGCUACUGAGAAGAAAAUGUCUAAAGAAAACUUCUUCAUGAAAUUAGUAAGGAACAAGUUUACUGGUUCAAUGUAAGUUGUAUUUAAGUCUCUGUAG
ensembl:lncRNA